UACGGGGGGGGCAAGCGUUGUUCGGAAUUACUGGGCGUAAAGGGCUCGUAGGCGGCCAACUAAGUCGGACGUGAAAGCCCUCGGCUUAACCGAGGAACUGCGUCCGAUACUGGAUGGCUUGAGGUUGGGAGAGGGAUGCGGAAUUCCAGGUGUAGCGGUGAAAUGCGUAGAUAUCUGGAGGAACACCGGUGGCGAAGGCGGCAUCCUGGGCCAAUUCUGACGCUGAGUGAGCGAAAGCCAGGGGAGCAAACGGG
rnacentral:rRNA from 1 species